GUACUACAUAAUUGCUAUCAUAUCACCAUCCUCAGUGUGCUUAUUAAUAUUUCCUUCCUAAAGGAAUUUUACUCAGUGAUAAAGUGUGCAACUUGAUGGCUAUUCGAUAUGGUAAUUCCAACCGGAUGAUUGGCUUUGAGAAUUUUGUAUACUUCAUGCUUCGAGUGGAGAACAUGGAAGAUGCUUUUCGAAAUUUGACCCAUGAUAGGAAGGGAAUUUACCUUUCAAAGUCUGAGUGGUUGAUGAUGACACUAUAUUGCUGAGAGCCUGCUCUGACUGCACCUAUGUUUUCCUUGAAUUCUACAAACACUCUGAGGGUAUCUGCAAAUGUGAUACAACUGAUACAACUUAACUGAGAUUUGGGAAUUUCUAAGAUUCUAUCAGUUACUGUGGAUACUCCCUCCAACAAUGCAUAUCACAGCUGUUCCAUGCUGCAUGAGUUAUCUUGGUUGAAAACAUGAUGACCUUCUUACAAACCCUGAUCAGGAGACUCUUCAUGAUUAGCUAGGUUGACUCUUACUAAGCAGACAACCAAGCCAUCAUCAGGCUUACUUCUAGAUGACCGAGUCCUUCCUGAGAGUUUACACUAUGCUGGAUUAGUAUUGGAGGACAAUUAAAGGUCUUCAU
rnacentral:lncRNA from 1 species